GCCAGGCAGAGUGACACAUGCCUGUAGCGCUGCUCAGAAGGCAGGUGGAUCAUUUGAGCCCAGAGUUACGCGCUGUGGUGUGCUAUGCCGAUUGGGUGUCUACACUAAGUUCAGCAUCAAUAUGGUGACGCCAGGAGCUGGGGACCACCAGGUUGCCUAAAGAGGGGUGAACCAGCCCAGGUCAGAAAUGGAGCAGGUCAAAGCUCCUGUGCUGAUCGGUAGUGGGAUCAUGCCUAUGAAGAGCCACUGCACUCUAGCUUGGGCAACACAGUGAGAAUUUU
ensembl:misc_RNA Metazoa_SRP Metazoan signal recognition particle RNA